ACUCAAAUGAAUUGACGGGGGCCCGCACAAGCAGUGGAGCAUGUGGUUUAAUUCGAAGCAACGCGAAGAACCUUACCAGGGCUUGACAUCCCUCUGACGCAUGCAGAGAUGCAUGUUCCCUUUUGGGCAGAGGAGACAGGUGGUGCAUGGUUGUCGUCAGCUCGUGUCGUGAGAUGUUGGGUUAAGUCCCGCAACGAGCGCAACCCUUGACCUGUGUUACCAGCGCGUGAUGGCGGGGACUCACAGGUGACUGCCGGCGUAAGUCGGAGGAAGGCGGGGAUGACGUCAAAUCAUCAUGCCCCUUAUGCCCUGGGCUACACACGUGCUACAAUGGGCGGGACAACGGGAAGCGAAGGAGCGAUCCGGAGCGAAACCCUGAAAACCGUCCUCAGUUCGGAUUGCAGGCUGCAACUCGCCUGCAUGAAGCCGGAAUUGCUAGUAAUCGCGGAUCAGCAUGCCGCGGUGAAUACGUUCCCGGGCCUUGUACACACCGCCCGU
rnacentral:rRNA from 1 species